rnacentral:rRNA from 1 species
UACGGAAGGUGCAAGCGUUGUUCGGAUUGAUUGGGCGUAAAGCGCACGUAGGUGGAUCAGCAAGUCUCAUGUGAAAUCCCCGGGCUCAACCUGGGAACUGCAUGGGAAACUGCCGAUCUUGAAUGUCUGAGAGGUUAGUGGAAUUCCAGGUGUAGGAGUGAAAUCCGUAGAUAUCUGGAGGAACACCAGAGGCGAAGGCGGCUGACUGGCAGUACAUUGACGCUAAGGUGCGAUAGCGUGGGGAGCAAACAGG